GCAGUGGUGGUUCAGUGGUAGAACUCUCGCUUUCCAUGCAGGAGACCUGGGUUUGAUUUACUGCCAGUGUA
rnacentral:tRNA from 1 species